CCUACGGGUGGCAGCAGUGGGGAAUAUUGCACAAUGGGCGAAAGCCUGAUGCAGCAACGCCGCGUGAGCGAUGAAGGCCUUCGGGUCUGAAAACUCUUUCCUCCAGGAAGCUAAUGACGGUACUUGAGGAGGAAGCCCCGGCUCACUACGUGCCAGCAGCCGCGGUAAUACGGAGGGGGCUCGCGUUAUCCGGAAUUACUGGGCGUAAAGGGGGCGUAGGUGGUUUCUUAAGUCAGCGGUGAAAGGCUACGGCUCAACCGUAUGAAGCCUUUGAAACUGGGGACCUUGAGUGCAGGAGAGGAGAGUGGAAUUCGUAGUGGAGCGGUGAAAUGCGUAGAUAUUAGGAGGAACACCAGUUGCGAAGGCGGCUCUCUGGACUGUAACUGACACUGAGGCACGAAAGCGUGGGGAGCAAACAGGAUUAGAUACCCGAGUAGUC
rnacentral:rRNA from 1 species